AUUGAACGCUGGCGGAAUGCUUUACACAUGCAAGUCGAACGGCAGCACGGGGGCAACCCUGGUGGCGAGUGGCGAACGGGUGAGUAAUACAUCGGAACGUGCCCAGUCGUGGGGGAUAACGUAGCGAAAGUUACGCUAAUACCGCAUACGAUCUAUGGAUGAAAGCGGGGGACCGUAAGGCCUCGCGCGAUUGGAGCGGCCGAUGUCAGAUUAGGGAGUUGGUGGGGUAAAGGCUCACCAAGCCGACGAUCUGUAGCUGGGCUGAGAGGACGACCAGCCACACUGGGACUGGGACACGGCCCAGACUCCUACGGGAGGCAGCAGUGGGGAAUUUUGGACAAUGGGCGCAAGCCUGAUCCAGCAAUGCCGCGUGCAGGAUGAAGGCCUUCGGGUUGUAAACUGCUUUUGUACGGAGCGAAAAGGCUCUCUCUAAUACAGGGGGCUCAUGACGGUACCGUAAGAAUAAGCACCGGCUAACUUCGUGCCAGCCGCCGCGGUAAUAC
rnacentral:rRNA from 1 species